GACGUGCUAAUCUGCGAUAAGCGCCGGUAAGGUGAUAUGAACCGUUAUAACCGGCGAUUUCCGAAUGGGGAAACCCAGUGUGACUCGUCACACUAUCAUUAACUGAAUCCAUAGGUUAAUGAGGCGAACCGGGGGAACUGAAACAUCUAAGUACCCCGAGGAAAAGAAAUCAACCGAGAUUCCCCCAGUAGCGGCGAGCGAACGGGGAGGAGCCCAGAGCCUGAAUCAGCAUGUGUGUUAGUGGAAGCGUCUGGAAAGGCGCGCGAUACAGGGUGACAGCCCCGUACACAAAAGCGCAUGUGCUGUGAGCUCGAUGAGUAGGGCGGGACACGUGGUAUCCUGUCUGAAUAUGGGGGGACCAUCCUCCAAGGCUAAAUACUCCUGACUGACCGAUAGUGAACCAGUACCGUGAGGGAAAGGCGAAAAGAACCCCGGCGAGGGGAGUGAAAAAGAACCUGAAACCGUGUACGUACAAGCAGUGGGAGCACCCUUUGGGGUGUGACUGCGUACCUUUUGUAUAAUGGGUCAGCGACUUAUAUUCUGUAGCAAGGUUAACCGAAUAGGGGAGC
rnacentral:rRNA from 4 species